rnacentral:rRNA from 1 species
CUCUCCAAAGAAGUCCUAGUACAGGUCGCUUCCCUAGAAAAAUCCCAUGCCAUCUGGUCUUCUCUCGCAAACAUGUUUGCGGCUCAAUCCAGAUCACGUGCCAACAAUUGCCGUGCUGCUCUUUCCAACGCCCAAAAGGGCUCCCAAUCUGCCGCGACCUAUUUUGGUCAGAUGAGUGCGCUUGCAGAUGAACUUGCCAUGGCUGGAAAGCCACUUCUCGAGGGGGAGCUGAUCUCCUUUCUCAUCUCUGGUCUAGAUAUGGACUAUCAACCUCUUAUCUCUGCAUUAGACGUUCGCACUGAGCCUCUCUCCGUCGAUGAACUGUUUGGCAUGGUGUCCAACUUUGAUCAAAGGGUGGAGAUGUUCCACGGCUCUGGAUCGGGUGCUUUCAAAACAUCCGCCAACGCCGCCUCUCGAGGACGCGGUGGCUUCUCCAAAGGCAACCGCGGCGACUGCGGCUUCUCCAAGGGUGGCAACAACAACGGCCACAGCGGCGGCGGUGGCUAUGGCAGCUACCGCGGCGGCGGUGAUGGCGGCUACAACAACAAUCACUGCAACGGUGGCGGCGGCCACCGUGGUGGCGGUGGCGCAAACUACAACAACUACGGCGGCAGAGGAGGCUACUACAACAACAACGGCCCUCCGCGCCCCUACUACAACAACAAUCAAGGGUGCCGUUUUGCUUGGUAUGAAGAAUACGAAAAUAAAUGUCAGAUCUGUAAAAAACUAACCAUAUUGCAAAAGAAUGCAAAUGGCGCUAUGCAGAGGACAACUCUCAGAAGAAGCGUGUUGCCGCUGCGGCAGACAUCUCCUAUGGUAGUGCUGACUCCAACUGGUAUGUUGAUUCGGGCUCCAACGAGCACAUCACCUCAGAUCUCGAGAAGCUGA